rnacentral:rRNA from 1 species
GUGGGGAAUAUUGCACAAUGGGGGAAACCCUGAUGCAGCGACGCCGCGUGAGCGAUGAAGUAUUUCGGUAUGUAAAGCUCUAUCAGCAGGGAAGAAAAUGACGGUACCUGACUAAGAAGCCCCGGCUAACUACGUGCCAGCAGCCGCGGUAAUACGUAGGGGGCAAGCGUUAUCCGGAUUUACUGGGUGUAAAGGGAGCGCAGGCGGUGCGGCAAGUCUGAUGUGAAAGCCCGGGGCUCAACCCCGGUACUGCAUUGGAAACUGUCGUACUAGAGUGUCGGAGGGGUAAGCGGAAUUCCUAGUGUAGCGGUGAAAUGCGUAGAUAUUAGGAGGAACACCAGUGGCGAAGGCGGCUUACUGGACGAUAACUGACGCUGAGGCUCGAAAGCGUGGGGAGCAAACAGGAUUAGAAACCCUAGUAGUCC